ACGCCGCGUGAGUGAUGAAGGUUUUCGGAUCGUAAAGCUCUGUUGUUAGGGAAGAACAAGUGCGAGAGUAACUGCUCGCACCUUGACGGUACCUAACCAGAAAGCCACGGCUAACUACGUGCCAGCAGCCGCGGUAAUACGUAGGUGGCAAGCGUUGUCCGGAAUUAUUGGGCGUAAAGGGCUCGCAGGCGGUUUCUUAAGUCUGAUGUGAAAGCCCCCGGCUCAACCGGGGAGGGUCAUUGGAAACUGGGAAACUUGAGUGCAGAAGAGGAGAGUGGAAUUCCACGUGUAGCGGUGAAAUGCGUAGAGAUGUGGAGGAACACCAGUGGCGAAGGCGACUCUCUGGUCUGUAACUGACGCUGAGGAGCGAAAGCGUGGGGAGCGAACAGGAUUAGAUACCCUGGUACUCCACGCCGUAAACGAUGAGUGCUAAGUGUUAGGGGGUUUCCGCCCCUUGGUGCUGCGGCUAACGCAUUAAGCACUCCGCCUGGGGAGUACGGUCGCAAGACUGAAACUCAAAGGAAUUGACGGGGGCCCGCACAAGCGGUGGAGCAUGUGGUUUAAUUCGAAGGAACGCGAAGAAUCUUACCAGGUCUUGACAUCCUCUGACAACCCUAGAGAUAGGGCUUUCCCUUCGGGGACAGAGUGACAGGUGGUGCAUGGUUGUCGUCAGCUCGUGUCGUGAGAUGUUGGGUUAAGUCCC
rnacentral:rRNA from 1 species